GUCUGGUUGGCUUAGCUGGUUAGAGCGUCGGUCUCAUAAAAUAACAAGCAUUAUGAUCAAGCAUUAGCUUGAGACAUCCGAAGAUCGCGAGUUCGAUCCUCGCACCGGACA